CUGUGACUGGCUCCAGAUACACUGAACAAAAAACCCGGCCCCGCAUGAGCAGCAGCAAGUGUUACAACCCCCAGGCAGCAGGUCUUGCUGAAUCCCAAGGCCAAGGGAGAGGCGGGAAAUGUGAACCCCCGCACCCCCCCACCCCGUAGCGGUCUUGGGAGAUUCAAAUCAUUGUAAUGGAGGAUGCCACAGCCCGCAGCAACUCGGGUGCGCCGGGGGGGCAGCUGUGCCCAGAGAAGCUGACCAGGGUAUCGAGCUGCAGAAACUCCUCUGCGAUAUACAUCAGAUUAGAGACGCGCGAACACAAGAGCACCACACUCUGCUGCGAUUCCUUAUUCUUCUCACGUCUUCAAGGAAUACGUAAAGCUGAUCUCCAUGCAAGAAAAAAGGUAGUGUGCAGUUUUUUACUUCUCUGCAUGGCUUAGUUAAAUGCUUCUAGGCAAACACACUCUGUCUACAUCAACCCUGCAGAGAAAUGAGAUGCAAGGACGAGAAUCCAAGGGCCAUGGAGGCUGAUUUCUUCUGCACCUGAGUGGGAAGCUCAGCUUCUCUGUUUGGACAAAGGAAGGCACAUCCCUUCUGGUUUGAAAGACAUUUUGCUAACCAGAAGCAUUGUGAAAGCUUCUGUGAAUCCAGCAUCCAGAAGUACAACCCUACCAACCAAGCCACAAGAUCCCUGCUGCCAGGGCUGAGCUCACCGCCUGAAACACAACUGCAAACUCCUGGGACUUUUUGCCAAGAGAUAGUGAAGUUCCUUUGACUUAAACUUCAGCUGAGCUGGGGUCUGGAGGCUGAAAUUUUGAAUGUAGGUACCUUUUGGGGGAGCUGAGUCUGAAAGACUUGCUUAUAGCUGUAAGAUCAGGCAGUGGUGGGAAGGAAUUUGUGUCUUGCUGUCCCUGUGCUGCCUAUGACAAAGGCACCGUGGCACUCAUGUCUGCAUCUGCCAGACUGAUGAAAAGGUCAGAAAGUGGGAUUUGGGAACUUUUCCAGGGAGUAAAUGGAUGGGGGUGAGUACCUUAAUUUAAACAGACCAGUGAGUAAUGAACCUGUAAGCUGGAGGUGAAAGACACUGGGAUCCUCUUAUGCAGAACUUCAGGUAUCAUAAUGCAAUGGAAAUGGACUGUGCCAAGUGUACUGUGGGCAUAGGGAAAUUCUUCAUGAGUUUAUACUUAAGGGUGAUG
rnacentral:lncRNA from 1 species